UUAAUGGAGAGUUUGAUCCUGGCUCAGGACGAACGCUGGCGGCGUGCCUAAUACAUGCAAGUCGAGCGGAGUUAUUCCUUCGGGGAUAACUUAGCGGCGGACGGGUGAGUAACACGUAGGCAACCUGCCUGUAAGACUGGGAUAACUACCGGAAACGGUAGCUAAGACCGGAUACACGAUUUGAUCGCAUGAUCGGAUUGGGAAAAGCGGAGCAAUCUGCUACUUACAGAUGGGCCUGCGGCGCAUUAGCUAGUUGGUGGGGUAACGGCUCACCAAGGCGACGAUGCGUAGCCGACCUGAGAGGGUGAACGGCCACACUGGGAHGCUNDGRYANAGUAUHNAUSSGYAS
rnacentral:ncRNA from 1 species